GAGCCUGAUGGGACUGGAGCCUGAUGCGUGCCUUUAAUAACUAUGGUCAUUUCUUUUGAUAUAUUUUUGGUAUUCUGUUACAUACAAGAGAAUUAGGUUUAGAAAGAAUAGGCCUAGUGAGUUGGCAUGAAUUGUUAGAGCUGGUAUGAGCUGUUAGAAUUGGCGGGAACAAUUAUUUUGUAGCAAUUAUGACUGUAUAAAAAGAGUCAAACAAACUAGUGUGAAUAGACUAGAAUUCUAAAAGAAAAAUAUACCCUUCUCUUUCUCUUUCUAUAUCUUUUCUUUCUCUCUCAAUAUCUCUCGAUAAUUUCUUCCCUUUCUUCUUUAAUUUCUAUUCUAUUCUAGAAAAUCACUUGUUAGGGUUCAAUAGCCAUAACAAUAUCAAAGCUCUGUUGAUUAGUGGGCAUUAAUUGGAAACUGUUGUUUGGAAGUCGCACCAUGUCUAGAUCUUGGGUGGUGAGUGCUGAAGCUUUGAGGAUGACAAAAUUGGAAGAGCAACUUGGGAUUUUGAGGGAGACCUCUCGAAGGGAUUUUGUGGAGGUGAGAGUUGAGGUGAAGGGAAUUAAGACAAAUAUGAGGGUGAAUGUUAGGGAAGAGAUGGAAGUAGGUACUGUGAACAUCAAGAAUGCAAUUCUUGUUGAGCUGAAACCUUUGUUGCUAAAUUUGAUGAAUAAUAAGGGUAAGGAAACCUAUGUUAGAGAUGGGGAAAUGGCAGGAAAUGAAAAUAGGGGUAUUUUUGCCUAUGCCAAGUAACCAACAGAGGGAACAGGGUAAUAGCUCUCGAUCUGCAAUUGCUUUGGAUUACGAAGGUAAUUGUAGUAUUCUUCCUAAAAUAGAAUUAGUCACUUCUAAUGGCAAGGAUCCUAGGGCAUGGA
rnacentral:misc_RNA from 1 species